AAAUUUAAAUUAAUAGGAAAUAUAAUAAAUUACAGAGAUUGAUAAUUUUGACUUUGGUCGUUUAGUAAAUAAUUGAUUUUGGCAGAUUUAUAUAUGCAUAUACUAAAUUCUUUCAAAGACAUACACUUUUUUUUUCAAAAAUCCUAUGGACACAUUUUGAGCUAUUACCGAGGAUACCCAAUGAAAGCGUCGGCAUUAUUAGGCCUUGGAACACCACCACAUUGAUUUUACUUCGUAGGUGCGGAGGACAAGACCCUACCUAAUCAUUUGGGAAACGAAGCGUGGGCUCUGACGUCGCUGGCGCUGCAGGACGACGGGCUUCACGAUCACAAGCGACUGCGCAAGGAUUGUAGUGCAUCUAUUGGAUAGAGCUAAGCGAGCAGAAUAUCUUCAUGCGUCUGUCGGCGGUCGCCACAUGCCGGCCGCACAUAAAUCUCCUUGGCAAUAUGAAACGCCCGUAAUAUCACAAUAACCCUUCUCGCAGUGCUGCCAUCGCCGCGCUGACAUAAAUUGGAAUUAUUAUGACUAGAAAUUUCAGAAAUAGUGGACAACCGGUUGUCCGCACUAUUAGUAGACUUAACCAAAACAAGGUUGGCAGUAGUGAGAAUUUUAAUUAAAAUGAAGCAAUGCUAUUUCCCGUUGUCGAAUGAUGUGUUCGUCGAUGAACGUGUUAGCAAACGUCAAGCAUCACGACGCGGCACGUUUACAGGACCGACACCGUGACACCACACGACAUAUCGUGCUGUUAUAAAGUCACAUGCCACAUGACGAAAAAAGAUAUAAUGUUAUAUUUUAAUCAUAUUAUUGAAUUGUAGUUAGUUUUGCAGAUAUAAAACCUUCAGGAAUGGCAGAGAUUAUAAAAUAUUUUUAGGAAACUGGAUUGUAGUAUAGUCAUUAAGACUACGACAUAAUCUAACAAGGUUUUGCAAAGAUCCAUUUUUCUAUGUCUUUUUUU